AUUGAACGCUGGCGGCAGGCCUAACACAUGCAAGUCGAACGAGAGGCGGACGUGAGAGUAAUGUCUGGGAAUGGGCCUGGUGGAGGGGGAUCACUACUGGACACGGUAGCAAAUUCCGCAUUCCAUCGGCUGUGCCCAGAUGGGAUUAGCUAGUGGGUGGGGUAAAGGCUCACCUAGGCGACGAUCCCUAGCUGGUCUGAGAGGAUGAACAGCCACACUGGAACUGAGACACGGUCCAGACUCCUACGGGAGGCAGCAGUGGGGAAUAUUGCACAAUGGGCGCAAGCCUGAUGCAGCCAUGCCGCGUGUGUGAAGAAGGCCUUCGGGUUGUAAAGUACUUUCAGCGGGGAGGCGUUACCCGCAGAAGAAGCACCGGCUAACUCCGUGCCAGCAGCCGCGGUAAUAC
rnacentral:rRNA from 1 species